UGGUGUAUACUAUACCAAAUGGAGACUUUCAGGAUUCUGUUUCAAUUGGCAUUCAAGGAAAAGCUAAUGAAUGAAGUGGCUAGAUGAAAGUGUCUGCACUAUAGCCUUCGCAAGUGAACAGAAAAUUGAAAGGGUCUGUGAUGGGGGUAUUCACCCUACAACAUUCCUGAAGGGGUGGAGGUAGGCUAGACGGGCCAAUUAACCACCUAGACUAAUCCUGGAGGGGAGCCAGGGAUCAAUAACGUUUUAUUAAGGAUGAAGUUCACCUGGGCAGGAACAGGUGGGACUUCUAUAAAGCGAAGAAGCUGAGACCAGAUGGAGGCUGCAGGGGGAAAUAAUCUGCAGUCACUCCCUGACAGGAGGGAGGUUUGUUACAGAUUACAGGGUCUGGCACGAAGCCAGAGGGGGAAGUAGCCAGAGGGAGCGGAGAAAGCUUGGGUGGGUGCUAAACCCAGAGGUGCCAGAGGAAAGAAAGAGGGGGUAGGACUGAGCCCAGGGAAGUAACAACCAGGUCUGGGAGUCAGUAGAACCAUAGUUGCGGAGCAUAGGGUGUGUGGGCUGGAACCUAGGUUAGUUCGUGGGCCUGGGUUCCUCUACCAGCCACUGGGUAUGUGGCACAGCUUUGGAUGUAGAACGGAGGACUGCUUGGAAGGGCAGAGGAACAGCUUGUCCUGAGAAACACUGACAGACCUUCUGGAAGGGGAGAAUUAAAGUGUCCAGGCCGGAGGGUCGAGUCACAAAGAAGAAGAAUACCCAGACCUGGAGGGUGAGAUGGAGACAACAGGCUGAGUGACCGCAGGAAGGGGUGUCUGACCAAUAGUGAGCUAAUCCCCAGAUGAAUCACAAGGUGGCACGCCAGCGGUGAGUAGCAACCCCAUUACAAGGUCCAAAUGAUUAGGUCCCCCCGUGACCUGAGCUAGAAGUUGGUAACUACUACUUAUGUGCCUAGUUUUGCGUUACAGUGGAAAAUAAACAGGAAAUAGUUCAGUAACUGGAGCAUGACUGGAACAAACUCUACUGUGGUUAAAAGCCUGUGCAUUGUGGAUACAUAACACUACUCUUCAGGGUUGGCAGGCGUUUUGCUUUGAUAAUGAAAAAUGUUUGAAAGUAAACUCCCCAUAAUUUAAAGAAUUCAUAUAAUCUAUCAGAAAUAAUAACCAACCUUUGAGCACAAGUAUAAAAGACUAUAUUAUGUCUGGCACACGCAGUAAAACCUUCCCACCUAUAGUCCCUUAAUGCAACUCUUUAUUCUCUUUUGUAAAGGACUACUGAUGCCUCUGUCAUUCUGUGACAGAAGUGGAGCUGAUACAUACCACUGUUAUGAAUACUGUUGGACCUGCUAGAACUAGGAGGCUGGAGAGCAAAUGGAGACUGAAGAGUUAAAAAGCACUUCCUGAAGGGGAGAAGAGUCGCUUGUGAGCAGCCAAGCUGGCACAGACAGGGCUGUGUGGAGGAGUCUGGAGGAAUUGGGUCUCCUAGAUCCAGGGAAUGGUAAGCCUUAGGGAAGAAUUAGGGGAAUGGAAUUGCAUAAACCAGACUUGCUGAGGUGAUCACAGUUGAGACCCAGGGGACUGCAACCCAGCUCCUGGUCUGAGAGUGGAGAAUCCUGUCAUUCCAUCCCAAGAGAAGAGACAACCCAAGGCCUGAGACCUAGAGAGGUGUGCACUGAGAGACCAGGAAGGCUCAGAGGCAAAGUUUACCUGGUAACUGUGAAAGCUUUAUGGGCAGU